CAGCUUCUGUGUGUGUAUUCCCCCAGUUGCAUGAUUUCCUCCCCUUUUUGUUGCCAACCAUGUUAGGUUUAUCUUAGCAUCCUUUUUCUGUUAUUGGUUAUUUUUUCCUCACUUGGGAAAUAGUGGUCAGAUCAACGAAGUCUAUAAAAUAAUUUGUAUUCUCUUGAGACUAGCAUUAAAGUCCUGUUUGUAAUUUCAACUUUGCAGUUUGAGUGCUGAUGGGCUAAUAAACAACAUCUAACAAUUAUAUGAAUGUUGCUUUUAAGAGCGGAAAUGUUGAGGCAUAGGUGUGUUUUUAUAAGCCCACUAAACCCAAAGUGAAAAAGUGGGAAAGGCAAAGGGAAGGUAAGAAUUGGAAAACAAAUUCUUUAGAAUGGAAGGGCAGACAUAGCAUAUGAAUUUACAGAAUCUAGUUGCUCCAUACAUAUGGUUUUACCUAUCUAUUGGGGAAUAUAAGUUUGAACAUGACUCAGUUUUCUUUUGCCUCAAAUCAUCUGAUUAAACAAUGUUCAAUUCCUCUGUUUUUAACACAGAGUACUUCUCAAUGUUAACACUUUCUUUUUUAUGCUUGCUGUUGGUUUAUAAUUUAUAUUUGUCCUGGAAGGAGAGGAUAGGGAAUUAUUUUAAAGCAAUUAAGCAUAAAUUGAAUUUUGCCUGUUAACAUUUUUCAUCAGCCAAGUUUCAUGUCUUUGCCUGUUCUUUGCUUUUCACGUGUUUCACGCUUUUCUCAUUAGAUUUCUCUUAGAGGAAUUUUCAAUUUGAAAAAUUGCAUAAAAUGUGAUAUUGUAAGGGUGAAGGUGCUGGUGUAGAUGUGGUCACCAGGGAGAAGAGUAGGGAGUUUCAAAUCUGAUAUCCUGCUGCAAUAUUGCUGUAGCAUUUUCAAAGGGGAGGUACAGUUCAAACAUGUCUGAAUAUAUGAUUGAAUUAUUUAUCUGUGUAGAAUAGAGCUAGAAAAAUAGAUUUAAUUUCAUUAUUUUCUAGUGCUUUAUCAAGGCAAAAUUAUGAUAGAGGAAAAAGAUGGAGAGAGAAAGUGGGGAAAAACAUUUGAAGGUUACUAGCCUUGAAAUGUCUGCUUAUACAUGGCUACAGGUAAAGGUGAAGUUGGCAGCAAUUGCACAUAUUGUAGUCUUUUAUAGAGUCUCAUUGAUUCAAUCUGAUGUGGUUUGUGUAACUUCUAAAUAAGGUGCAGAAAAGUCACAAGAAAACUACUGAAGAUUUCUGUAACACCACUUCUCUCCAGUUUUGCUCUGUACCAUACGUGAUCCCAAACACAGUCCUAGAACUUGUAGUGCUUUAUAAUGUCUUAAAGAAAUCCACUAGAUUUAUGUAUUUUAAUUUAUAUAUAUCUUAAUCUUACUUAGUCUAAGACAUAAAGGUUUUUAUAUCUUUCCACUGUCUUCCUUCUGGGAUUUUUCUGGUCUUCUCUAUUUUAUUUUCUGCUAACUUCUAUAUAGCAAGACACCUCAUAAAAGCACAAGUGCUGUCUGUACAGAAUUUCCAUAUCAUUAAGGGGACUCCCAGUAGAGAUUCCCAAACAUAUGUUCUUACUCAUGCAUAACUGAAUAAGAGGCAGAAUUAUACUUAGACCUUUAGCUUAAGAGAGUUUUCCAAAUAGUGUUCAUAGUGUAAGGUUGAAAUUUCAAGGCCACCUAACAAAUCUGAACACUUAAAUCUCAAAACUUUUUAUGGGAACUUGACAAGUCUGUAUGUCCAUAAGCAUAUAUGAAAACGUCAGACUUACACUUCAUCUGUUUCAUUGCUCUGUGGUGAAAAGGACUGAAGUAAAAGUGAAAGGAAAACAAACAAACAAACAAACAAAAUUACUGAGGUUUACUAAUAUGGAUACUUAUUUUUUAAAAGUGCAUUUAUUGCUAUUUAUUUAGUUGCUUAGUCGUCACCUGAGUUUUCCUGUGUUUACCUGAAAUUGACUGAUGUUGCAGUUGCCCAGCUUAUUAACUGCUCCAAAAGCCUGUUAUUAGCCUGUUCCUAUUAUUUAGUAUUAUUACCACUGUUAUUGUAUUCAGACAUUUGUAGUGAAAAGCCACCUCCUUUAUGUAGUGAGUGUACUUUUAUAAGAUGUGGGGCCUUUAGCAGUCUUUGUAGCCAUCAGCUUUCACUGACUCAAAGGCAACUGAAAAUAUACUGUUUAGAAAAUUUAUCACAUUUUGCUGGAACAUUUCCUUGUUUGUUAGAAUGGAUAACAUUUCUAGAGGAUAGAGGAUGACAACAGCAUCAUUAGGAAUAUGUUUUUUUUUUUUCCUUGUGAGAUUCAUACUAAGGUUAUUCUGUGAGAAUGUAUAUGUGUGUGAGAGACAAAAUGAGCAAGGCAGAAUUCCAAAUUCUUUACUGUAGACGGUAUUAUCUCUAAUUUUUCAUUAUUGCCAUCAAGAAAGCUGCCAAGAAUCAGAGGGAAAGGUGAAGUUCUGAGACAAAGAAGCCCAUAGAGAUACUUGUAUUCAUGCACAUGAUGUUUAUACAUAUUUAGAGUGUAAAAAAAAAGUAUAAAUAGAUAUGCGUGCUGUGCUUAUGAGAGCAUGUAUAUGCAUAUGGACUAAUAUUUUAUGGAUGUUAGAAAGAAAUUUUCUUGCUAAUCGUUUGAGCAAGUUGCAGUGUAACAAAACUGUUCCAUCUGGAGCAACAAAUUUGUAAUUUUACCAUUUUUUUUAUUAAACAAAGAAUUGAGCUAGUUUGUUCUUUAUUUGUUAUUAUAACUUGGGACUGGAGUUCAUAAAACCAUUCAGUUGGAAUUUUCUGAAUUUAUCUUUAGCCUAUUUGUGCUUAAUAUUUUACUUCAGUGAUGUUCAGAUACAUCCACUUGUUUUUCUUUUCAGUGUUCUAACUUUAAGCUUCGUAGUUUAACAUGGUUCAUAGUUUAGAUACAGUUUUGAGCAAAGGUUGUCAUAGGAAUAUUCUGAAAGUAAAAUGUAAGGGUUACAUUAUAAAUAUAUAUGGAGAUUUAUAUUCACAUCACAUAAGUGAUCAAUACUCAAAUGAAAAUAGCAAAUUUUGCAUUAAGAUGAGAAAUUCAAAUACAUCCGUAAGUAUAUGUUCGUAAUGAACAUAAAUAAUAAUCAGAUGACUUACGAAGCUAGGCUCAUACAAAACUUUGAGUGUUCUGCAAAUAAAUGUGAAUUAAGAAUAAUGCCCUUAAGAAUUUAGCUCCAAAAAUGUGUAGAUAGAUGCAUUUCCCACAUUCAAGUGGGCAUUUAUGUCAAUAUGCUGUAGACUGAUACUUUUAGUAUUUUCAAAGGAACUGAUAAAUUUUAUCACUGACACAUCAGUCUCAGGAAAUCUAUAUUUGACCUAAAUACUUUUUUGUAACACUGUACAAACAAAAUCUUUACUAGCAUAUAACAGAUUAAUGUAUGCGUGAUGAAAGAGGCACUAAUAACUUUGAAAAUUACAUGUUGCUUUGGCUUUUAUUUAUAUGAAUUUCAGGUACAUGUAAAAUCUAUGGAACUAAGUCUAAUAAGAUUGCUUCUGUAUCCAAAAGUGUUCUGGUAUGAAUUAAGGAUACUUUUUUAUUAUAGUAUUUUACAAAUACUUAAUAAAGUUUAAGUCUUUUUC
ensembl:lncRNA